CAAGUCAUGCCUGCUUACUUCUUUCAGGGAAAGAUUUAGAAAGAAAAUGUUUAUGCCGUUCACUCUCUAACUGGGACGUUUUGGGACUGAUUGGUGGGAUUGAUGUGGACGAAGUACACGUGGAGAUACACUGGAAGGAGAUAAUGAGGGGUAACCAUGUAUCA